AAAGAGGAAACUUCAUCAAUGCGAUAACUGUUCCAUCAUACAAAAACAAAAGAGCGUUUAUAGUGACGAAGUAUCCAACGGAAGAGGACGCUGUUGACUUCCUCCGCCUGCUCAAUGACCAUGAAUGUGACACAGUCAUCUGUAUGGAUCCUAUUAACAAGAUUGAUUCGAGUGAAGCAUGGUUACCAAGUUCCUCAUCUUCCAAAACAGUGCCCCCGUUUACCAUCCAUGUUCAAAGUCAAUCUGCAAAUCACAUCAUCAGCACUACUGUGCACAUUCUCGAGAAAAAUAAUGAAGAGGAGGCUCACCCUGUGACAAUAAUAGAACCAAAAGUAAGAAUUGAAACAUCCGGGACUU